rnacentral:rRNA from 1 species
AAAUUGAAGAGUUUGAUCAUGGCUCAGAUUGAACGCUGGCGGCAGGCCUAACACAUGCAAGUCGAACGGUAACAGGAAGCAGCUUGCUGCUUUGCUGACGAGUGGCGGACGGGUGAGUAAUGUCUGGGAAACUCCCUGAUGGAGGGGGAUAACUACUGGAAACGGUGGCUAAUACCGCAUAACGUCGCAAGACCAAAGAGGGGGACCUUCGGGCCUCUUGCCAUCAGAUGUGCCCAGAUGGGAUUAGCUAGUUGGUGAGGUAACGGCU